UUUCUAAUUUUAUUUUAACUUAUAGGAAAUUAACUUACAAAAAAGAAGUAUGAAUGCGGACAAAGAAUUAUUAAAUUUAAAGUACUUUCAACAGAUAUCUAAAAAGGCUAUUACAUGAGAUUGAAGCAAAACAACAACAACAAUAAUAAUAGCAUAUAUACUCCAUAGUAUAUAUUUUGAAAAUGAGGGAGAAAGGAACAUGUAAUGAUGCGAACCCGUGAGCAACGAACACUCACGAACCCACAACAAGAUUGCCACAGUUCCCAAGAACGCCAAUGGAUCGAUGGUUUUGGAUUUAAUCCUCAAACAAUGAACUAGGCAACUGUAGAUAUAUUAAAUCUACGACCUCUUAAUCACAAGGCUUGCGAAUCUCACCCGAAAUUUGUGGAUCUGACUCAAUAAUCAUGAACCAAACAACCGCCACAAUCACUUGGAUAUGCCCACCUUUUGAUUACAAACAAUUAAUUGAAAUCACACCCGGGUUUUGUUUGAAUGCCACAAGAUUUGUUAAAUCUUGAUAAGUUCGGUAAAUUGAAGCAUCACGCCUCGAGAGAGAAAAUUCUCCAUCAAUCAAUUCAUCAUAAAAACUUUGUUCAAUGCAAUGAAAAUUCCUAUUUAUACUAAAACCCUAAACAUAAUUAAAAAGAAAUUAAACUAUUAAAACCUAUUUAAAAAAAGGUAAAAUAAUCAGUAAAAUAAUGAAAGAGACGUGAAAAAAUUAACUUCCUAAUAUAAAAACGAAUCCUGCCGAAAUUCUUCGAUUUUUCUUAAGCCGAACAAGUUGCGUGAAGACAGGGAAUUCUGCCCCCUUUUGCCUUAUGCGAAUUUAGUCCAAUUUCCAGCCUUUAAUCAUCUAACUUCAGCCGCCCAUAUGUUUAUAUAUUUUAUAAAUUCAGCCAUCAUUUUGCAUGCAUAAAAGUGUGGAUAAUUAAAUUCUGCAUUGCUCCAGCUUGCUUAGUUCUUCAUUCCCAACACAUAAUUCUAUUCAAUUGACUUGUGAACGUCAACCUUAUGAAACCCAUAGCUCAAUUAUCAUAUUGGUUGGCUUUAUUAAUUUUGUUGAAGUCCCGGACUUGGCUCGAACUAAACUUGAAUUCCAUAGCUCUAACAUAUAAAUAGCCGGCUUUGACGACUUCAAUUAAUCUCAAAUGGGUCCUUAAAUUUUUGCCAACAAACAUCAAAUAUUUGGUAGCUCUUGGCGUAGCCCGGAUCACAUCAUCCCCUCUCUCUUCAAAAGGAUUCGACCUCGAAUCCAAGUCUUCAAUGUCCAAAUUAUAGCCUUUAUUUUCGAUCAUGGUAAGCACAUGAAAUGGUCCAUCGCCUCUAGGAUGAAACUUAGACUGCUUUUGAAUCCUUAUCCGCCUUUUGCAUAAAUAAAUCCAAUCACCCUCGCAAUGAUCAAAAUGACCGCGCCGUGAUUGCUUAUUUCGCCCCGUUUGAGAUGCUCCAAUAAGAACUUCACUUGAUAGAUCACCUUGCACCCUCGAUGUCCUCCUUCGCCUAGGUAGUAGCAACAAUAACACUCCGAAUGGAUGCAUUUUCCCCGGCAUAUCACUUUUGUAUUUCAGCUCCUUGCCGUUCAAUCCAACACAUAAAAAUUUAUUCCACGACAACUUCUUUACCUCUUCAGGGAUAAUAAAUUCAACUUCCGGUAUUAUGGCGAUUUCCAAACCAAGGUGCGGUUGUUGAUUGAUUUCUUCCACAAUUUGAUAUCCAAUUCCUAGGUCAGGUGGUAUUCCAACAAAAUUAAAUUUUGGAAUUAAGUCUUCGUUGACCUGCAAAAGAGAAAUAUCAAAAGUAGGGAGGGAAAUAUUAGUUUUC
rnacentral:lncRNA from 1 species